UACUGUAAGGAAGGGUUAAUUGUGAUUCAGAACUGUCCUGGGAUUCCUCCACAGGGAUUCCAACAUUGGAAGACUCAAAUGAUUCCAUCCUAUACUGGAUCUACGCAAAAGACCAUCCAGUUAUGAUGGAGGAGGGAGAAGCAAAUCAAAGAUGGCUGACCACAACCUCUGAAUGACAGCCAGUAAGGCGAUGGAAGUUCUCAGUCCCACAACAGGAUGGAGUGAAUUCCUCCAACCACCUGGAUGAGCUUGGUAGUGAAUUCAUUCCCAGAGCAUCCAGACAGGAGCACAGCCCUGCAGACGUAUUGCUUUGGCCUUGUGAAACCCAGAGCAGAGAACAGCUGAGCCAUACUGUGCCUGAACAGCCAUGCUGUCCUUCAGAACUGUGAGAUGAUAAAUGGGUUGUUUUAAGCCACUAAAUUUGUGAUUUUUCACAGAAGUAAUAGAAAACAUUAUACAUUCUAUCUAAGCAAAUGAUAGAGCAACUAGGAAAAAGAUUUGGUACAGGAAUACAAGGUCUGAAAGAUACUAACAACCACCUUGACCUAACAUAUUUAUAGAACAGUUCAUCCAAAAGGACAGAGCAUACUGUAGCCCCCCAAAACACAAGAUUAAAAUCUUGAAAAGAUUAAAAUCAUACAGAAUGUGUUCUGAAUACAAUUGAAUUAAAUUAGUAAUCAAUAGCAAUGAGACAAUUAUGAAGAUCCUGAUUACCUGAAAUUAAAAAUACACCUUUAGCUAUUCCAUGGGUCAAAGAGGAAAUCACAAGAAAAUCAGAAACAUUUUUAUGAUAAAAAUAUAGUAAUGCUUAAGGGAAACUUUAUAAUAUUAAAUGUGUAUAGUAGAAAAGAAGAAAGAUCUUUAAGUCAACAAUCUUAUGAUACGACUUCACACCUCAGGAAAUAAGAGACCAAAUUAAACACAAAGUAAGUAGUAGAAAGAAGGUAGUAAAGACUUGUAAUAAAUAGAAGUUAGAAAAAGGAAAAGGCAAUGAAAUAAUAUUAUAUUUGAAAAGAUCAUUAAAAUUCAUUAACCUCUAACUAGACUGAUAAAAAACAACAGCUAAGAUAUAAAUCACCAAUAUCAAGAAUAGAAAAGAAUAUCAUAACUUCAUAAUAAUAUAACUUAGACAAACUAAUUAUUGAAAGACACACAUUAGCAAAACUAAUAUAAGAGAUACAAAAUAGAAAUCUGAAUAUAUCAGAUUUAUACAAUCUAAAUGAAGUAAAUUUAUAGUUAAAAUGUCUCUUAAAACAAGCUAAAAUAAAAA